rnacentral:rRNA from 5 species
CUGGGCGUAAAGCGCACGCAGGCGGUCUGUCAAGUCGGAUGUGAAAUCCCCGGGCUCAACCUGGGAACUGCAUUCGAAACUGGCAGGCUUGAGUCUUGUAGAGGGGGGUAGAAUUCCAGGUGUAGCGGUGAAAUGCGUAGAGAUCUGGAGGAAUACCGGUGGCGAAGGCGGCCCCCUGGACAAAGACUGACGCUCAGGUGCGAAAGCGUGGGGAGCAAACAGGAUUAGAUACCCUGGUAGUCCACGCCGUAAACGAUGUCUACUUGGAGGUUGUGCCCUUGAGGCGUGGCUUCCGGAGCUAACGCGUUAAGUAGACCGCCUGGGGAGUACGGCCGCAAGGUUAAAACUCAAAUGAAUUGACGGGGGCCCGCACAAGCGGUGGAGCAUGUGGUUUAAUUCGAUGCAACGCGAAGAACCUUAC